rnacentral:rRNA from 1 species
CACACACACACACGCUGUAGUAAAGUCUCAUGGAAUGCAUACCGCGUUUAACGCAAUAUAAUACAACUUUCAGCAACGGAUCUCUUGGCUCUCGCAUCGAUGAAGAACGCAGCGAAAUGCGAUAAGUAAUGUGAAUUGCAGAAUUCAGUGAAUCAUCGAAUCUUUGAACGCACCUUGCGCCCUUUGGCUAUUCCGAAGGGCAUGCCUGUUUGAGUAUCAUGAACACCUCAACUCUCAUGGCCUUUGCCAUGACGAGCUUGGACUUUGGGGGUUUUGCUGGCUUGUAGUUGGCUCCUCUCAAAUGAAUCAGCUUGCCAGCGUUUGGUGGCAUCACGGGUGUGAUAAAUAUCUGCGCUUGUGGUUUUCCACCUAGGUAACCUUCAUCGCUGAAAGGUUCGCUGGGGCUCAUAAAUGUCUCUCCUCAGUGAGGACAGCUCUUUGAACAUUUGAUCUCAAAUCAGGUAGGACUACCCGCUGAACUUAAGCAUAUCAAUAAGCGGAGGAAAAGAAACUAACAAGGAUUCCCCUAGUAACUGCGAGUGAAGCGGGAAGAGCUCAAAUUUAAAAUCUGGCGUGCCUCUGGUCUCCGAGUGAGUCGAGAAGUUGG